rnacentral:rRNA from 1 species
UACGUAGGGGGCGAGCGUUAUCCGGAAUUAUUGGGCGUAAAGGGUGCGUAGGUGGUCUGAUAAGCGUGGGGUGAAAGGCAAUAGCUUAACUAUUGUAAGCCUUGCGAACUGUCAGACUUGAGUGCAGGAGAGGAAAGUGGAAUUCCUAGUGUAGCGGUGAAAUGCGUAGAUAUUAGGAGGAACACCAGUGGCGAAGGCGACUUUCUGGACUGUAACUGACACUGAGGCACGAAAGCGUGGGGAGCAAACA